rnacentral:rRNA from 1 species
CCCUUAGAUGUUCUGGGCCGCACGCGCGCUACAAUGGUCUUCGCAAACGGAUGCAUUCUCGAAGGAGAAUGCCAAUCUUGGAAUCUAUGCCUUGGUCGGGACAGUUGCUUGCAAUUUUUCGACUCGAACCAGGAAUUCCUUGUAAUCGUGAUUCAUCACAUCACGAUGAAUACGUCCCUGCCCUUUGUACACACCGCCCGUCGCUCCUACCGAUCGAAGAGUUAGGUGAAUUGUUUUGAUCGAUAAGAUUUGACUAUGGUCAACUCUCGUUGUGAAAUUCUAUGAAUCUGACUGUUUAGAGGAAGGAAAAGUCGUAACA